rnacentral:rRNA from 1 species
AGAGUUUGAUCAUGGCUCAGAGUGAACGCUGGCGGCAGGCCUAAUACAUGCAAGUCGAACGGCAGCACAGCAGAGCUUGCUCUGUGGGUGGCGAGUGGCGGACGGGUGAGGAAUACGUGGGAAUCUGCCCAGUCGUGGGGGAUAACGUAGGGAAACUUACGCUAAUACCGCAUGCGCCCUUCGGGGGAAAGCCGGGGACCUUCGGGCCUGGCGCGAUUGGAUGAGCCCACGUCGGAUUAGCUAGUUGGCGGGUAAAGGCCCACCAAGGCGACGAUCCGUAGCUGGUCUGAGAGGAUGAUCAGCCACACUGGAACUGAGACACGGUCUAGACUCCUACGGGAGGCAGCAGUAGGGAAUAUUGGACAAUGGGCGCAAGCCUGAUCCAGCCAUGCCGCGUGAGUGAAGAAGGCCCUCGGGUUGUAAAGCUCUUUUGUCCGGAAAGAAAAGCGCCGGGUUAAUACCCUGGUGUCCUGACGGUACCGGAAGAAUAAGCACCGGCUAACUUCGUG